CUCUCCCUGGUUGCGUGGAUGGCCAUUUUAGCCAGGGUGAGGAGGGGAUUGACCAGGAGGUCCCAUAACUUUGUGAGGCCACGGAUAGGGAGUGCAUAGAGAAGGAGGUGAGGGGAAAAGUGCAGCCAGAAACGCAACAGGAUAUUGGUGAGGAGUCGGUAUAGGGGCUGCAACCUGGUGCAUGCUAAGUAUCUGUAGAGAUAGUUACUUAGAUCUACAGUCCCAAAUCCUAAAAGAGCUCCAGACCCUUACUUAGAGUAUCUACAGAGGGGCUGUGAGUGGGGCAUCAGGUACUGAGUGUUGGACUCUUGCUCUUUCAGGGGCCGGUGACCUUCGAGGAGGCGACUGUGUAUUUCACCAGGGAAGAGUGGGCUCAGCUGGACCCUACAGGGGUGUCAUGCAGGAGAACUAGGUGCUCCAUGCAUAUAGUGAUGCCUGGAGAUGGCCCAUAAUUUACAUACUGACAGAAGCAGACUUGGGGUUUUAUUACACUGCUGAAGAAUAAAGUUUAUCUAAUAUUUGUGUAUAUCUCA